UACAGAGGUCUCAAGCGUUGUUCGGAUUCAUUGGGCGUAAAGGGUGCGUAGGCGGCGCGGUAAGUCGGGUGUGAAAUUUCGAGGCUUAACUUCGAAACUGCAUUCGAUACUGCCGUGCUUGAGGACUGGAGAGGAGACUGGAAUUUACGGUGUAGCGGUGAAAUGCGUAGAUAUCGUAAGGAACACCAAUGGCGAAGGCAGCACUCUGGGCCGGUACUGACGCUGAGGAGCGAAAGCGUGGGGAGCGAACAGG
rnacentral:rRNA from 1 species